CCUGAAAAAGGGCCAAGCAGAUGAUGGAGAGAUGAACCACAGACUGCACGGCCACUCAUGGAGGAGAUCUUUCCAGCACAAUCUCCCCUAUAUGUUUUUUUUUUUUUUUUUUUUUUUUUGCAUCCGGGUCCAGACAAGCUAGGAAUCUGAGAGAUCGUUUCUUCAUUCUGACUUUGAGAGACAGACCUGUCCUUGGCUUCCCAUUCCAACACUGGACCUCCUCACCAAACUUGUGAGACUCAGGUACAAAAAAACCAGAGAGAUCCCAGAGCAUCACAAAACAUAUCGCACUGCAUCAACACUGAAUUGAAAAUGUAACAUGUCCAUCGUUAACUACCCAAGCUUUCAAUACUUCUGCAUGCAAAGAGACUCCUCCUUCCUACGCACGUCCUGACUACCUGUCAAUCAUGCUCCUGGGCUGUAUCAGUGAGAGCCGCAAGACUUUUAACCGCUAGUUUAAAUGGAAGACCAUACUAUUGCUACUAGUUUGGCUACAUGUUUGAAACUGACUAUAUCCUAUUUACAAGACAGGAUAUAACACAGGUAACUAACCUUAAGAGCUACUGAAAUGUGUUGACCGUGAGUGAGGCUGUCGAGAUGGUUAAGUGGGAGAAGAACUUAAACUGCUCAGUAAGUGCCCGAGUGAGGAGCUUCAGUGUCAGAGACAGAACAGUCUCAAAACAGGCAGGAGAUGGGACAGGAGAUGAAAGACAUUUAGAUCUGUUCUUUGACACACACACACACACACACAUAUACAAAGAGUGGGUGGUUUUUAUUUAUCUAAAAUAUAGUUAGAAUAAUGUGAGAACCUGAGCUUCCCUCAAAGUAUCAUUCAAAGGAAGCAAUAAUCCAAACUAUUAUGUCUUAACGAGCUCUGGUUUGGGGUUAUCAGAUCAACAACAGCACAAACUGUGCCUUCUCCGAACACAGAGUUGUUAGUGGUGACAGGUGAGGCCGCUAGAACAAGCCAUAGCUUAUGCUCUGUAUGAGGUGUGUGCUCUGAUCCUUCUUUUGAAGGCCAGGGCAGGGGGGAUAUCAAGACAAAUGCCACCCGGUCCCAGCCUCCAGAGGCUCCCAGUAUAGUUAGCGAAAGAAGGCAGACAUCAUUAAUUAGGUAGGCAUGGUCCACAGCUGCCACAGUAGACAGUGCAAUGAGAGCACAAGGGAGGAAAGAGGGCUUACAAGACAAUUCAGAGUACUCUCUGGGGCCAGGCUGGGACAAAGAUGUGCUGAGCACCACCAAUUCCAUAUGCCCGGCAGAUGGGAUCGUCAUCAUUGGCUGUGACAAAUGAGAGGGAUCUCAACUCAGGGUACCAGGGCCAACUUGGCGUUAUGAUGAGACUUAAUACUGCUCUGGCAACCUUGCAUAGGAGACUGGUAUAGCCUGGAGGAGGCAGGAAACACCUUUGAGAUAAUACACUGCUCUACCUAAGAGGAUGGAACCCGUGAAGCCAGUUGAUUCUGCUCUUUCCCCGCCAGGCCUGGACUUCCUCUUGGAAGUCACUAGUUCUCUCCUUUUGUCCCUUUCCUUUCUCAUGGGCUUCUGGAGAACUAACUAUGCUUAUCUCUAUUUUUCCUUGCUCGAAAACUGUUCACAUUUCAGAUUCUGCACAAUUUUGAAACAGUAUGUGGCAUUUCCAUGGUAGACGUUCAUCCCAGGACAACCCAGGAUUUAUCUGUCCUGAAGAUAUCUAUAAUCUCUGCAAGGCAAUUAAGACUUAAAACUAUUUCUAAUUUUUUGCUAUGUAAUGAGAAGAUUUCUAAAAUUAAAAAAAAAUCUUUAUAGUGCUGGGUUAUUCUAACAUUUAAAACCCCCAAACUAGCCAUCUAAAUGCUAAUCCGAACACAGAGGGAGGACUCCUUUUUUUUCUUCUGCCCCUAUUAGCCUAUCAUGUCUCCUGACUGGAUCACCACCGUAAGCCCCAUUCCAAAACUGGGUCGCAGCAUCCAUUUCCCCUCUUCCUGUAUCUAUUCCCCAGUGUGGGCAAAGUCAUCUUUUAAGAAAAUAUUAAGAGGCCGGGGAGAUGGCUCAGUCAGUAAGAGCUUCCUGUAGAAGCGUGAGGAGCAACGUCUGGAUUCCCCAGGACCCACAUGAAAAGUCGGGUGCAGCUGUGUGCUCUGCAGUCCUAACUCAGAGGAGUUGGAGGAGAAAAAUGCCCUGGGUCUAACUGGCCGGCCAGUGGAGCUGAGUGGGUGAGCUCCAGGGUUGGUAAGAAUUCCUGUGAAGAGUGAUUAAGAAAGAUGCUCAAUGGCCUCCAUACAUACAGCCCCCUCUACAUAUACAUGGACGCGUAGAAAAUGCCAAUCUUUGCCCUGAGGGUCAAAUUCCAAUUUUGUGCUGUGGCUUAUAGGCUUUCCCCAAGCUCUCCUGUUCCCAUCAUCUCCACUUACUGAGCUUCCCGACAUGCCGCUUCUAAGCUUAUGCCUGCCACAUGCCUUGCACACAUUCACUCAGUCCCCCAGCCCAGACGAGGGUCUUCAUCAGGAAGCCUUCCUGUUGUUGCUCCGCCAUUAAUCACGCUGCUUCUCCCUCCCACAGCAUCCAGACUUGCUCACCUCACACACACCACGUUCCCUAAAUAACCCUCCUGGUCUGCCUCUCUGCCUCCAAGCUGCAAGCCCUAAGGACAGACUUUCUGUCCUCUUCUAGUUCCAUCUCUUCUCAACAGCAGUCUCUACCUCAGGGUGGGCACUGCUCGGACAGCCUGGCUACCAUCUAGCUUCAUUUUGACAAGAAUCUCCAAUGUCUUCCGCCCUGUGUAACACACACAGUGUUCCAUGAGUGAAUGUCAUCUUGAAUCACCUUAUCAUAUUUCAUAAGAGGAUAUGAUCUCCUAGUCCUCUAUGUAUUUAUCUGGGGUUAUGUUAUUCCUGGCUCUCGCUUUCUUUCGUGUUAAGGUUUCAUUUCAUAACUGAAAUUUCCAGAUGUAAAGUUAAAGAGUCUGAGCCAAAGGGUAUAGAGUUGAUUAUGGUUCCAAUGUACCUCUCAGUUAGCUUUGGAGGAGACCAAAGGUCUUCCCUGGACCAGAUGACUGAUGGCUAAGUGGCUAAUAUCUUGAUGGUCCACGAGAUCAAUUGAAAGCCAUUCACCUCCCCCACCUCCCAGGACCAGAAGUAAUAUCGCAUCAUCCUGUUUCCAUAAAAGGUGACAACCAAGGGAGAAAGAGCGGGUCUAGGAGCGUUUCAUCUAGAACCCUUCCCCGAGUUUCACAGAUGAAAAAAGCCCCACGUGUCUGAAGCCCACGUUGUUCAAAUUAUAACACUAUAUGCUGACCCACAUGUUCUGUGAAAGUCACACAUGAAUUUACCCCAACCCAACAUCCCCAUCAAAAGUCACUAACCCAGUGUGGGUGAAAACGGCAGUGAAGAGGGACAUGAGAAAUGGUGUCCACAGGCUGAUGAGCAAACACUGACCCCUGAGCUCUGAUGUCAUGACCCCAGGAAUCCCCUUUCCCAGAUAAUGGCAAUUUUCACAACCUUUCCUAUUUGUUGGUUUUCAACCAUUCAGGAGAUGGGGGAGAGGAGAUGAAAGAGAUUUAGAUCUGUUCUCUGACUAUACCCCAUCCCUGCCAUGCCAGCUUGCUUUAAGAAUUAUACAAUUGAUUAAGAUUACCAAAUUGAAAGCCGGGAAUGGUGGCGCACACCUUUAAUCCCAGCACUCGGGGAGGCAGAGGCAGGUGGAUUUCUGAGUUCGAGGCCAUCCUGAUCUACAGAGUGAGUUCCAGGACAGCCAGGACUACACAGAGAAACCCUGUCUUGGAAAAAAAAAAGAUUACCAAAUUGAACACGCAUUUUCGUGCUGCACCCAGAUAGGUACAGAAGAGAUUGAUAUAGUCACACUUGCUGGAGACAGAAUGGAACUUGCCACAUUCUCCGUCAGGUGAUGUCACAGACAUCAAGUAGGACAGACUGUGACGCAGCAAGUCCAACCUAUGCUUCCAGGUUUUCAGGGGACAGAGUUCAGCCUCCUAUUGGCUGUACAUACUUAUCUUCAUGUGAGACACCCAGCCAAGACUCUCGUAUUCCCCACGGUUUAUUAUCACUACGAGGAAGAACAGCCAGAGUAAACUUGCCUUUCUAGAAAAAGUAACAGCAGAGAACAUGGCGCCAUGACCUGCGGUGUGGUCGUUAACCGGCACUGAGAAGAGACAGAUGUCCAGCUGACAUAUCAACAAACAAAGCCAACAGGAGGGAGAUCAGUACUGAAAGGAAACGAGCCUCCGGAGAGGCCUGGAGCCCUGCACACGUCCUCAGAAGCCCUGGGACUGCUCACUGGGACUUAGUUCAGAAACUGAACACAAUAAAAGAAAUGUGGCUAAAGGUUGGUCUGGUGGUUUGGAGAGAAGGAAGAUCUACAGUACAAAUUUCAUUUUCUGAAAUUUUUCACUACGGCGUAUUUUAUGGAUUUAGAAAACUGAUUUAAGAGGCGAGAGCUUGUUAGACCUUGUUGCUUGCUUCUGGGUUGAAGGUUCUUUUGUUUCCUGGAAAUUGGCGCACACACACACACACACACACACACACACACACACACACACACACACACACAAAGAUACACAUUUCUUAGAGUUCAGUUGCCUGAGACUCUAUUUGUAUAAAAAAUUAAAAACAUUUCAAAGUAAAUUCAAUUAGUAAAUGUAUACUGCCUGAAUAGACUAUCCUAAAUGUAAUAUACUGAACAUGAGAAUUUUAGGAGAAAACCAAACUAGAGAUAAUAUAUUUUUAUGUUCCUUUAAGUAGCAAAGAGACUUAAGACCCAUGAAACAGCAUUAACAAGGUACUGAAAUAUACUUAAAAUUUUCUUCAAAAUAAAAAUGUUUUUUGUUUUUGUGUUAAAUGUAAGACAUAUAAGGUCUUUUUUAGCAAGACUUUAAGGCUCCUAGAAGUGUUAAGCCUGCAUCUUUCACGGGAACUGUGGAGAAGUGGCGUCACUAGCUAACAUUUUAUUGUAUAAGUGCAGGGGUAGGGGAGAAGGAGGAGGGAGUGACAGAGAGUAAAGUGCAGCCUUCUAGAGGAUCGAGUGAGAUCAGAAAAAGACAGUGAGUCAAAGGAUGAGAAAAAUGGAACAGCCUACAUGGUUUACUUUAGAUCCCGGGAGAUUACACGGGAUUCCUUGCUCGCUGGCACAGAGAAAGGUCUAGAAGGACAGGAUUCUGUUUGUCACCUCUAAAAUGAGGGUUCUGAUCGCCACCCUUUCUCCUCUGCACUCUGACUUCUGAGGGUAAACAUGGCAGCCUACAGCAAGUACACUUGACAUUUUGGUUCUUAAAUGCAAUGAUGUAUUUGACUUCAAGAACCCUUUCUGCUAUUACCAGCUUUCUGUCCACAGCACAUGAUAUCAGUAUCUUUAGAGAUGUGCCUCAGGUUUACAGCCUUGGCAAUGAGAACUCAGAUGUCCAGGGUUGGUAUGCUUAGGUCUGUUUAAUAAAAUCCUUUGAUGGAAAAACACAUUCUACAUAGCCUUAUAGAUUCUUUUAGAUUCUCUCCACCAUACAAAAAUCACCUAAAGUGAUUUGUGCCAGGAUAUAAAAGGCAAUAUAUUCAACAUUAUCUUAUUGAAAACAAAGCAGCAAUCUCCAUCUCAAAAAUUUUUUUUGACAACUUAUGCAUUAGUCUGGCUCAAUUAGUUCAAUGAUUAAUUUGGCAGAAAGUACUUCUGAAACUUAGCACCUACUAAGGAGAUUGCUGUGUGCCAGAAUUUGGGGACUGAAGUAUAAUUCAAUGGCUAUCUAAUUUAUCUAUUUUAAGUGAACAAUUCAAGUUGUUCUUUCUUCCUUUCUUUCUUUCUUUCUUUCUUUCUUUCUUUCUUUCUUUCUUUCUUUCUUUCUUUCUUUCUUUCUUUCUUUCUUUUUCUUUCUUCCUUCCUUCCUUCCUUCCUUCCUUCCUUCCUUCCUUCCUUCCUUCCUUCCUUCCUUCCUUCCUUCCUUCCUUCCUUCCUUUCUAUUUUAAGUAAAGUGACUGAUUUAGACCUUCACCCAGGUCAGUUUAGAAUAUCUUCACCUUUGAGGCGAUCCCUCAAAUUCUUAACCUUAUUCCCAAGACUCAGCCCUAGGCAACUUCUGAGCUACUUCUUGUUGCUACAGUGCUGCAGUUUCUAGAAGCUCACAUAAAGCUGAAGUCUGAUUUCUGUCCAUUUAAUAUGAUCUGAGACCCAUCCAUGCUACUAAACAUCAGUAAUUAUUCCUUACUCACAAGCAGUUUUCCACUGGAUACAAAGUCUGUAUUUCAGUUCUAUUUUAAGCCAGUGUGGUGGUGUCAGUAGGAAGGGUCGGCACAGGUUCACAGAUUUAAAUGCUUGGUCAUCAGGGAGUGGCCCUACUUGGCAGGCAUUAAGAGGUAAAGCCUUGUUGAAAUAGGUAUGCCCUUGUUGGAGGAAAUAUGUCACUGGGGAUGGGCUUUGAGGUUUCAAGGUCCCAAGCUAGACCCAGAGUCUCAAUUCCUGUUGCCUAAUACUCCAGAUGUAAAACUAUUAGCAAAUUCUCUAGCCCCAUGUCUGUUUGUGGGCUGCCAUGCUUCCCACAAUGACAGUAAUGGAUUAAACCUCUUAAUGUAAGCAAAUUCCAACUAAAUGCCUUCUUUAUAAGAGCUGCUGCAGCCAUGGUGUCUCUUCACAGCAAUAAAACCUUGACUAAGAUAGCCAAAGCAGAAUUGUUGGGUCUUACAGUAAUGCAGUACUUAACAUUUAAACAGCCUGCCAAACUGCUCCAAAGAGGCUGUGUCCCUUUUUGCUUCCACCAGAACUCCCAGGAUAACUUCAACUUUCUCCACAUCCUCAAUAACACCUUGGUAUUGACAGGCUGGAAUCAACCAUCUUGGUAGAUAAGGAAAACUUAAUGUUCCUUUAGUCUCUACAUUGCCAGUGGUAAAUCUUGUCAAGCAUCUUUGAAUGGACAUCUUUACCACUGUCUAUGCUUUCAUUCUGAGUCAAGUUAAAAGAGUUCUGUGUAUCUGUUGGUUCCAUGGCCUGGUACAUAAUAAAUACUUGACAAAUAUUUGUUUCAGGCUGUUUGUUGGUCUUUUGCUUUCUUAAUGGGAUCUUCUAAAGGUGUCUUAGUUUGGGUUUUACUGCUGUGAACAGACACCAUGACCAAGGCAACUUUUAUAAAAACAUUUAAUUGGGGCUGGCGUACAGGUUCAGAGGUUCAGUCCACGAUCAUCAAGGUGGGAGCAUGGCAGCAUCCAGGCAGGCAUGGUGCAGGAGGAGCUGUGUGUUCUACAUCUUCAUCUGAAGGCUGCUAGCAGAAUACUGGCUUCCAGGCACUAGGAUGAGGGUCUUAAAGUCCACACCAACAGAGACAUACCUAGUCCAACAAGGCCACACCUAGUCCAACAAGGCCACACCUAGUCCAAGAGAGCUACACCUUCUAAUAGUGCCAAGCAUAUACAUCACAGAAGGACACUUAGUUUUGAUGACAUUCAACUUAUCUUUUGUCUCAAUGCUCACAGCUUUUGUUUCUUAUCUAAGCAUUAUUCCGACACCCAACAUUUCAUUUCUUAUUUCUAGCAAAAUUCAUGUUUCACUAAAAUGUUCAUAGGUUAGCCCAAAUACUUAUGACCAUUUUUUUUAAACUGCUUUUAAUGUAGAGUUGAUUAGGGACCAAGGGCCAAAACAUAUAUGUGCAAAUCUAAUUGUUUCAGAGCUCCCUUUGGAAGAACACCCUCUCUCUAUUGUGCUGACAUGCUUGAAAGAGAUCAACUGACCACACUCACAAGACAGUCUACUCGUGGACUUGUUCUUCUGCUCCUUUAAACUGAGCAAUGCCACACUCUCUUAACUACUACAGCUUUACUUUAAGCCCUGAAAGCAAGAAGAGUUGAGUCUCUCAACUUUGCUUCUCUUUAUUGUUUAGAUAAAUCCACAUCAUUUGCAUUGCCACAUAAGUUUUAGAUUUAGUUUAUCAUCAUCUAUAAAAAAUACUUCCCAAAGUUUAGAUGAAGAUUAUAUGAGAUCUAUAGAUCUGAUUAGAAAAAAAUGAUCAAUACUGAAUUAGUUACCUAUUUCAUGAAUGUGGUACAUAGGGCAACAAUAUAGGUCUUUGUUUCUCUCAGUAGGACUAUGUAGCUCUCAGUGACUAGAUCUUACAGCUCUUAGGUUAAUUUCAUACUAAACUAUUUUAUUCCUUUUGAUGUUAAUACAUGUAAUCAAUCUUUGUUUUCAGCAUUUAGCAAUUUAUUUUUGUACCUGUGUCAUAUCCUGUAACCACCAUCAUUUCCUGAGUGUUCUAGUAGCUUUUUUAUACCAUUAUCAGGAUUUUGUAGCUAUUACGAUCUGGGAGUAAAACAAGUUCUAUUUCCUUCUAAUUUUCUUAGGCCUUUAACUCCUGGUUUUUGCCUUGAGUCAUUAAGGUUUCCAUUUGAAUCAGCAGUCAGUCUAGAACACACCAACAGCCCCCACAGCCUUUCUAUGAAGUCUGACAUUUGUAUGCCACUCGCUGAUGAACAACCACACUUUGCUAGUACAUACUGCCAGUGCUCAUCUGCUGAAAACCAGUUUCAACCACACUGAAUUGUAUUAUGUGAUCAUCAUUUAGGAGGGGGGAAAAAGAGAAUAGAAAAGAAAUGUGCUGCUAUCUAAUAAGCAUGAAUCUCAUAAACUUAAUAACAACCCUGACCAAAUAGAAUCCACGGGGGGCGUGCUCAAAGUGGCGAGUCCUCAGCUGAAGGUGGGCAGGCAAUCUUUGGACUCAACACACUCAUCAACCAUAAGAAAGGGCAAAAUUGAAAACCAUAGCAUGACACGGUAAAACCAUCACAAAACUUACGUAAAAUACAAGCUAUCAUUACUCGUUUCAUAUUUCAGGCCUUUGAGAGCAUGGUUGCCUUUAUGAUAAAUACAGUUCUUGCUAUAUUCGAGCACAAUUCUACUCACACACAAUCUAUGGGACAUAGACUAAGUGCCAACAUGCAGGAAGAACAAGGGCUCCAUCUACUCUUAAAAGGCUUUCUGCCCUUAGAAUAACAAUCCCUACUGAUAAGCCAGAAAACAGGCCUUCAUAUACGAGCAGCUUCCUAAUGCACACACAAUAAGCAAUGGAGCAAAAGCAAUUACUCGAGUUUCUUUGUUCGAAAACUCCUGAAUUCGGUUCCCUCUUUCUGGAGAGCACACUUCUCAGCCCAAAGUCCCGAGCCCCAACCUUCAAUUGACUGCUCAGGAUGCCUGGUAUUUGGUUUGGUUUCUGUCUGUCCCUGGAUUUUCUAGUAGUUUAGAAUCCACUGCACCAAUGAAGGAAGAAUUUCUCUUCCUGAUUUGUUUUGUUCCCAAAUAGGAGCCCGAAGGCUUGCACGCCAUAAUAGAAGGAUGACUGUGCAUAAAUAAGGUGCACAUGAAUGAAUGAAUACAAGGAGCUUGGUCUGGGAUACAUUUCCCCCCGAGUUAGGAUGAAAAACUCCCAGGAAGACAGAGGAAGAAAGGAUAUGAAGAUUUCUGAGUGCGGCAAUCUAGAUUUUUCUUUUCUUUUACUUCAGGGGCUGUCACGGGCAGCAGAGAAGUUGCAAGCAAGCUGUUAAAUUGUGGACCCAGAGCAAAGAAAGCCCUAGAAGUCCUUACCAGAGAUGAUUCAGACUGAAAUAUUUAUAACGUGGGUUCAGAAGGCUAAGAACGAGUGGCCAUGUUUCUGCUGAAAAGGAUUCAGAGUGAGAAAAAUGGAAAUGGGAUCAAAAAUGCUUUUCAUUAUGUCUUGAGUAAAUGCUUAAUAGAUGUUUUGGAUUUGGUUAAUUAGAAAGGAUUGCAGUAGGCUAUUUUCAGAAACAAAUACUAAUCAUAACUCUUUCUGUGCUUGGGGCAAUAUGCAAAACCUGUAACUACAGUAAGCAAAAUAAUCCCUAUACCGAGGAACAUAGCCAUCAUGUAUGGCUCUAAUUCUCAGCAAAACUACAGAAGAGAAUCCCCCCCCCCCACAUACACACACAAAAUCUCCUUCCUAUACCAUUAAAGAAACAUCAAUUUCUUAAAUUGAUCACAUAUGUAUAGUAAUGCCUUUCAAAGUUGUAAUUAGCAAAACCUUAGAAACAACUUACAUGACCGAGAGUCAAGGCAUUGCCAACUAAGUGCCCAGAGACUGUUAUCUUUUAUUGGAUAAAGUUUUAUUCAAACACCACUGUGUCUGUGCCUGCUUUCUUGCUAUAUACUAACGGUGGGUUUAAGCAACUGCCACUGAAAUUACAUAUGGCCCAAAAAACAAAAGAUCUACUGAUUGCUCUUUACAGGAAGUCUGCCAACACUAUAAUAAUUAAGCACAUUUAAGAUAAGACAAAAUUUUAGACAGGGUU